GAAGAUGUCAGGGGGUGCUCCCACCCCCCCGCGGAAGCUGCUAGUCCAAAGCCAAUCCAGUUUCUGUUUUGUAGGAAGCGUGGGGCCUACAACAGAGUCUGUGCACAGCAGGCGCUAAUACAAAUCAGCAGAGUUCACAGAAUGCAGAAACGACAAGGGGGCUGUGAGCUAUGCAGAGCCACUGCCUUGCUGGUUUCCUAAGACCUGCCCGGUGAGGUGUGCCUGGUAUGUGGCAGGCCGCCACCCCCGCCCCCCAGCCCCUGCAAGCACUGACUUAUUUUCUAUCUCAAUGGAUU